UCAGACAUGGUGUAGCGGUAACACGGUUUCGCUUUCUCAAAAAUUCAAUCGAAGUCUGAAGUAGUCUCCGGUUCGAAUCCCGGUGUCUGAA